AAUUCUCUAAACAUGCUAUACUUUGAUUUUAGUAAGGAUUUUAAUAAGGUUCCCCGCAGGUUUUUUAAUAAAUAACUCAAAAUUAAGUGGUUUAUCAGACCCCCUGUUGUCAUGGGUAAAAAGUUUUUUAACCAAUCAAAGUUUUGCGGUGAAAGAUA